UGAACUGCGGAAGGAUCAUUACCGAGUGUAGGGUUCCUAGCGAGCCCAACCUCCCACCCGUGUUUACUGUACCUUAGUUGCUUCGGCGGGCCCGCCAUUCAUGGCCGCCGGGGGCUCUCAGCCCCGGGCCCGCGCCCGCCGGAGACACCACGAACUCUGUCUGAUCUAGUGAAGUCUGAGUUGAUUGUAUCGCAAUCAGUUAAAACUUUCAACAAUGGAUCUCUUGGUUCCGGCAUCGAUGAAGAACGCAGCGAAAUGCGAUAACUAGUGUGAAUUGCAGAAUUCCGUGAAUCAUCGAGUCUUUGAACGCACAUUGCGCCCCCUGGUAUUCCGGGGGGCAUGCCUGUCCGAGCGUCAUUGCUGCCCAUCAAGCACGGCUUGUGUGUUGGGUCGUCGUCCCCUCUCCGGGGGGGACGGGCCCCAAAGGCAGCGGCGGCACCGCGUCCGAUCCUCGAGCGUAUGGGGCUUUGUCACCCGCUCUGUAGGCCCGGCCGGCGCUUGCCGAACGCAAAUCAAUCUUUUUCCAGGUUGACCUCGGAUCAGUAGGAUACCCGCUGAACUUAAGCAUAUC
rnacentral:rRNA from 1 species